UCUAGUUUUUAAAAGCCACCUGUAAGUAGCAUUCCACAAUGAUAAUAUUGCCAGUUGUUGCUUUUUCUUAAGUGUGUUGGCUCAAAGUGUGAGAUGACUUUUAAAAACGAAGUACAGAACUUGCUUCCUAAAAGCUUAUCUUGGUAGCUGAUGCACUAGUGAACGUUCCUACUAUGAUUAUUAUUCCAGACAACUUUGCACCAUGCGGACAGGUCAAAUGAGACCAGAAGUAUUAUGAACCAAUGCUAAUCAGGACUGUUUCCUGCACUCUGAGACCAAAGGGGCCAUUCUCACAAAGAAAGAGCUCCUGCCAUGUUACAUGCCUGCUCUCCAUCUGCCUUCCAACAUGAUUGGAAGCUUUCCGAUGCCCUCACCAGAAGCAAAUGCUGGUGCCGUGCUUUCUGUACUGCCUGCAGAACUGCUUUCGGCAUUUGGCAUCCACAGGAAACUCCAGCUUGACUUAAGGAGUGAGAGAAAGCAGAGGGCAUCACCUGGAAUCCUGCCACUGAUGAACACUCUUUGCUGUUUACUUGCCAAUAAUUGAG
rnacentral:lncRNA from 1 species